GUAUGAACGCUUUGAGGAGUAAAACGCUUUGCCGUGGAUUCUUCUUUAUCCAGCGGCUGUCCACCCGUGUUACUCCCCAGCACAGGACAAGUGGCGAAGCGAAGCUGUUCCUUUUCCAUCCACAUCCCGAAUCUUCCGUGUCCUCCCUUCCCUGUGCCUGCCCAGCGAAUGUGAAGGUGUUGAAGAUUCCACACCGUGUGGCAAUGAAAACACAGUCCCAUUAUCUCAGUUUACAGCGUUCAGGGGCACCCAGCCGCGAGCAGUGCAGCCUUACAGGAGUGGCAGGAAGGGCUCCAGGAGGCUCGUGCACAAAUCCGCGGGAGGGAGAGCAGCCGAGGGUGCUGUGUGGUGUGCAUGCUCCCCCUUUACCUGCUGCAGUCUGGCAGCUUGCUCCUGCUCAGUGCCAUUGAGAGCACGGCCUAUCUGCCACCAGCUCCAGGAUCCAGCCAUCCCAGAGCCACAGCAGAAAGGGAAAAAAACUGCCUGGAAACGUAGCUGCUAAAAUGUACCUCAGCCUUGAAGGGAUCCUUUUCAUUAGGAGCCCGUGUCUUCUCCUAAGUAAUUGAUCACCGCGCACCCGGGGACAGCCGAUUCAGAGGGACAUGAAUAGGCACAGCGCCGUGGCCGCGCUGCUGCGGGAGUGCCAGCGGGCUCUGGACGCUGAGCUCCUGCCGGCCCAGGCCGGCACGGGCGAGGCGGAGGAGCGGGAAUACCGGCGGUGCCAAGCUCUGCUUCCUGAGGAGCUGAGGAGCCUUCUGGAGGAGGCGAAGGAAAUGAAGUGGCCCUUUGUGCCGGAGAGGUGGCAGUACAAACAAGACCUGGGCCCAGAAGACAAAACAAACCUGCAAGAUAUGAUCAGCGCCAGGCUCCCUGACUUGCUGGCUUAUCUGAAGGCCUCCAUCCUGGUCAGGGACUGCGGCACGGCCACGGCCGUGGUGUUCCUGCUGGACCGCUUCCUCUACUGGCUCGACGCCUCCUGCGGGCUCCUGCGGGUGGCCAAGGGGCUGCACAGGCUGCACCCCGGCGCUCCCAUCAGCCCGCAGCUGCUCAUCCGCCAGGCUCGCCUCGCCGUCAACGCAGGUAAACUUUUAAAAGCUGAAUAUAUCCUAAGCAGCCUGAUUAAUGACAACGGAGCAACGGGAACCUGGCGAUACGCCGAGGAGAGCGAUCGGAUUCUCGUUCAGGCAGUCUGCCUACAAAUCAGGGGGCAGAUCCUGCAAAAGCUUGGGAUGUGGUAUGAGGCAGCAGAGCUGAUCUGGGCUUCCCUCAUGGGAUACUUCCAACUUCCUCAGCCAGAUAAAAAGGGAAUUGCCACAUCCUUGGGUAUUAUGGCAGAUAUCUUUGCUUCCAUGAAUGAGCAGGAUUAUGCACGCUUCAAAACCAGUGCUGACAUUGACCUGAGCCUGCUGCAAGAGUUCAGCCACCGCUUGUUAUCGGCGGCCGAGGCCUGCAAGCUGGCAGCUGCCUACAGCCAGUACACCCCCCUGUUUGUCCUCACGGCCGUGAACAUCCGUGGCAUGUGUCUGCUGUCCUACAGUCACUCCAAGGACUGUCCCCGGGAAAAGAGAGAGUUCUACUUGUCUGAAGCCAAAGAAUCCUUUGAGGUCGGGCUCCUCACCAAGGAGGAGCAGAGUGCCAUCACCAGCAGGCAGGAGCUGCACAGUUUCAUCAAAGCUGCCUUCUGCCUCGCCACCGUGCACCGAUGGCUCGACGGGGAGAGCCAGGAGCUGCGUGAGGCCACCCAGCUGUGCAGGGAAGCCCUGGGAAAGCUGCACUCCUACAGCACCUCGCUCCCAGGGGAGGGAGAUAAGGGGAUGCUUGCCAAGGAGAUCAUGGCUCUGAUCGCAGCCGUGAAGAAGCGCCUGCGGGUGGGAGGCUUCCCAAAUUCUGACGCCAGCUCUUAUGUCCCAGACAGUUAUAAAGGCUCGGUACAAAAGCCUGUCCUGCACGGGGAAACCAGCUUUGAGAAAAUCCUUGCCAAGCAUUCCCAGCACCACCUGUCAGUGUGCCAAGUGUAUGAAAAAACUUGCAGGAUUCAUAAAACCACACCGGGAGAGAUCCAGGUGGGAGCUUGUAUCACAACCUUAAGAACAGAGACCAAAACCAUGGACACUGUGUGUACUGCUGAAGACAAAGUUCACCAGAGGAGUGGUCCUGUGAAAACCCUGGACUCUCCAACAGCAGGAAGCAGCUCAGAGGGACUCAGUGGCCGAAGAAAUCAAGACAUUGGCUCUGGUGUGAUGAAAAUUUCCUUUGAAGAAGAGAUCGAGCCAUUAGAAAUCAAAAUAAACAGCAAAAAAGACGUUUUCAGCAGAAGGAAAGGCAGGAGCCAAAGCACUACUUCUGAGAACUCUUGGUGCAAGCUGUCCAAAUCCAGUUGCUCUUCCAGCUGGGAGGAGCUGAGCUGUAAUAGCAGCAGAGAGUCUCUCAGGGACGGGCAGCAAGGGGAGGAGGGCUCAGUGGAGGAGCAGUGCUGCAGCACAGAAGCUGACCAGGACGCGCCCUUGUGCUCUUUGCCUCCCAGAGCCUGGCAUCCUGCUCCUCGGGAGCCCCUCCAUGGCUCUGGGGGGUCUCCUCGGCAUUCCUUAGAGGGGUGUGCCCCUCGAGCACGGAGGAUGGUGGAGAAGGAGCCCCUCUGCAGAGAAGAGCUGCGCGAGGGAAGGCACCGUGGAAGGAGCUCCUCAAAAGAGAAAGCAAAGGGCUCGAGCAAUGAGUUUCCUUCCCUCUCCAUCUCUUACUCUGCUCCUACGGGGCAGGAGGAGGAGGAGGAGGAGGAGGAGGAGAAGUCCUUGUCCUGUGCGGAGCUGAGCUGCAGGACCAAGGACAGCAGCAGGGAAGGAGGCGUUGGUCGCUCUGAGUGGCUCCACCCGGGAGAACCUGCAGACAGCACCGAGGAUCCCUCGUUUGAGGCACAGCCCCCACAAAACAGGGGCACCUGUGUACCAUCAACAAACAUCGGGCCGAAAACAGGCGGUGACUCCUCCGUGCGUGGCCGGGUGAGGAAAUCUGCCCUGCUGGGCAGCGGAUCUCUCCCAGUGCCUCAAGUUGACACCCAGGCAGAAACAAUGGAUGGCACUGAAUUUGAGCUCAUCAGCAUGGGAGACUCAGCAAACCAUUAUCCUACAGCACUGGCUCCAAAGCACGAAGCGGCUCCCAGUGUGCCAACAGCUUUGCCCUCCUCCCUGGGAAAGAUAUCCACAGCCAAGCACUUUGACUGUGCCACUACAGAGGAAGAUGAAGAGAAGUCUCAGGGUGUGGUCAGCAGCAAGGGACAGUCCAGUUCCUCUCUGAAUUCAUGGGUCAAAUCGGCAGCGAUGCCCACGGGCUCCCCUGAAGGUUCAGUCCCAAGGGGAAGCGGCUUUGCCUUCACACCCGGCAGAGUGAAGGAAGAGAUCCUGGACGCUCGGUUUCUGAGGGAUGACGAUUACAGGCAGCUUCUGGCAGGGGUGGAGCAUGAUUGGCUUGUCCAGAGAUUGAUGCCUACUGGGAUUUUUAGGAGCAAAGAGCUUCACAAAGCGUACUCUGCUCUUCUUCUGAAAUACUCCAAGAAAUCUGGGCUGUGGACAGGCCAGGAGACAGCUGUGUUCAUCGGGGACUACCUGAACGUGGCCAAGGAAGGCAAGCAGAGAAAUGCCUUCUGGAUACACUUCCUGCACCAAGAAGAAAGCCUGGGAAGGUACGUUGGGAAGGAAUAUAAAGAGGAAAAAGGGCUCCUCCAUCAUUUCAGUGACGUGGAGCGACAAAUGACCGCCCAGUACUACGUGACAGAGUUCAACAAGAGGCUGUAUGAGCAGAAGGUCCCUACCCAAAUCUUUUAUAUCCCCUCUGCAGUACUGCUGAUGCUGGAAGACAAAACUAUAAAAGGGUGUGUGAGUGUGGAGCCCUACAUCCUCGGGGACUUUGUGAAGCUGUCCAACAACACCAAGGUGGUGAAGAAUGAGUACAAAGCCACGGAGUACGGCCUGGCUUACGGCCACUUCUGCUACGAGUUCUCCAACGGAACUGACGUGGUCGUCGACCUUCAAGGCUGGGUGACAGGUAACGGGAAAGGCCUCAUCUACCUCACAGACCCCCAGAUUCAUUCCCUCAGUAGCAGAGACGUCUCACGCUCCAACUUCGGGAAGAAAGGAAUUCACUACUUUUUUAAUGAUCAGCACGUGGAGUGCAACGAGAUCUGUAGCUGCUUGUCCCUGACGAGGCCCUCGGCGGAGCAGCUGGCCUAGACUGGCACAGGUGUCCAGGUGAAAGGCAGAUUCUUGCUGGCUGUGCGUCGUGCUUGCACAUCCAAUUCAGUAAAUCUGAUAGCCGGGGAACAAGCUGAUGCAACUAAAGCCUGCUAACAGGUAGAAUGCUUUCCUCGCUCGUUUGCCAAUAACUAACGACUCUGUGGAGCACUUCAGGCAACUUCUCUUAGAAAAGAUGCAGUGGGAAGGGAGGCCCUCAGUUAUCCCAACAAUACGGGGCUGAGCCAAGCUUGCCUCCCCCCUCUCCCUCGGAGCCGCAGCAUCCCGGGCUGGCAGAGAGCGGGCAUGGGAUGACCCCUCCAGCUGUGGGGCAGCCCCUGCACGCGAGGCAGCACGGCCCCGCUGCCCUAAACACGGCAUCAGCUGCCCCCAGAGCCCAGCUGCUGGAUUUCGGCACAGCUCCUUCCCCAGACGCAGCUAUUCAUGGGGAGCGAGGGGAAAGCCUCACAGCAGCCAGCGCAGAACCGCAGCCCGUGCCGCCCAAUCUGUUCUGCUUGGAAGAACACAGCAGCAGCAGCAGCUUCCUCGGCGUCUCCUUCCCGCUAACCAGAGCCGGGCCAUUCGCAGCGAGGUGUUUGCUUGGUACCUGCUGCUGUCACCUGCUGCCUUGAGGGAAGCCGCGGCACACGGGUGCCUCCCCCAGCUCUGCGGGGAAGCUGGCGGCAGCCUGCUGCUCUCACCCCUCUCUCCCGGGAGUGACACACGCCACCCUCCUUUCUUCCACUUGGAUGAAAUCAUCUCCCCUCUCCCCUGGCUGAGCGGGAGCAGAUGGGGCUGCUGGCCUCCGCAGCCGCCCGCUGCCCCAGCUCGUGUGAGCCCGCUGUGCCUGCCCGCUGCCCCCUCCCGACAGAACCUAAUCCCACUCCCUAAUCCCAAACUUCCCUGCCAAGCUGUUCCUGAGGCACAGAGUGCAUCUUCCGUCAAAGUUGUGAGCAGUUUGUUUAACGCGGGAGCGGAGCGUGGGCAGCACCGAGCAGGGCGCACAGCCCCGCGGGGGCAGGUCCGGCAUGCCGGGGCUUCGCCGGGCGGCACCGCCAGCGCCCAGGGGAGCGGGACGAGGGCAGGACAGGAUCCCCCCGGCAGGCAGCAGGUGCCUUUCCUCCCUCGGUAACAGCCCAAACUGUCGUGCCGGCUACCGGGGCUGCCGUCCCCUCGGAGCGGGACAUCACGUUAAUAGAGGUUGAUUUGCAAACGGCGUCGCCCCCCGCGCCCAGUGCCCCCCUUUGCCUGACUCCCGCUUUUCUGCUCAAUGGCACAGAUGCUGCUUUGUGCUGCCCAGGACCAGGCAGCUAUUAGCAGCAAAUCCAGCGAGGGAAAUUAAUGAAGGCGACUACUAAUAAAAGACAGCUCAGGACAGCCCGACCAACUUGCUCCGAGCGGUCUUCUCGGUGAAAUCCAUCGGCCUGAAGUGUGACAACUCUUCACCCAUCCAUCCCGCAUUUGCUGUCAGCGUCUUCUGUACUGAGAGCCAAAGGUAAAUGAUCGGUAAACUUCCACUGAACUUCCCACCCCCGCCCCCCCUCUCUCUAAUGCUGUUUCCCAAAGAAACAGUUGCCCACGGACCCAGUGACAUCAGGCCCCACCGGACCUUGGUUUCACCAGAGACAAGGACAGGCCCAAUCCCGUAAUUCCCAGUCGCUGGCACAUGAAGCAGAAAAAGCAGCAGCCCCAAAGUUACGAAAAUUAGAGCUUUUUAUUUAUAUUUUAUCACAAGGACAAUCCCUUUGCUCUGCAGCUGUAAAUACAUACUAGAAUAAACUCUGUAAAUUAUACAAAAAAAUACAUAUUUUCCAUGAAAUCUGUCUUUAUAAUAAAUAAAUGUGAACACGUGUGUGGCUGA